CCCCACCCACUCAUUUCUCCUAAUAAUUCCCAGGCUUUCUGGCUGCAGGCUCGGCAUGCCCUCUUCUGUGUUCCUGCGCUGAGGUGUUCUGAAAUUUGCAGACUGCAUCUUUGUGCAGUGGUCAUACCUCCUCCAGUGAAACCAGGCUAAGUGGGGUAAGCACACUGCCUUCACAAGGCUCAACCUGAAGAACAGCAACAUCUGCUUUUCUUCUUGAGGAGCAAGUUCUCCUGUCACUGAAACACUUUCAGCAGCUGCUGUUGUCACUGCUGACAGAACAGUUUUCAUCCUUAGCACAGAAAACAAGCUUACUGUGAACACUUCAAGCACAGGCACAGAGGGGAAAAG